rnacentral:tRNA from 1 species
GGGGCUAUAGCUCAGUUGGCUAGAGCGCAUGCAUGGCAUGCAUGAGGUCCGGGGUUCAAGUCCCCGUAGCUCCA